rnacentral:rRNA from 1 species
UACGUAGGGUGCAAGCGUUAAUCGGAAUUACUGGGCGUAAAGCGUGCGCAGGCGGUUUUGUAAGUACUGUCGUGAAAUCCCCCGGGCUUAACCUGGGAAUGGCGAUGGUGACUGCAAGGCUAGAGUUUGGCAGAGGGGGGUAGAAUUCCGAACGUGUAGCAGUGAAAUGCGUAGAGAUGCGGAGGAACACCGAUGGCGAAGGCAGCCCCUGGGCCAACACUGACGCUCAGGCACGAAAGCGUGGGGAGCAAACAGG